GCCCCCGUGGUGAAAUGGAUAUCACACAGGUCUCCGGAACCUGGGGUCUGGGUUCGAUUCCCGGCGGGGGUA
rnacentral:tRNA from 1 species